GUUGCAAACCAAGUGUUUGCUUUUUUGUCCGUAUCAGUCGAUAAUUAUGUUGGUUUUUUAGUCUGAUCAUUUGGGUGUGAUUGAUCUGACUAGGAUAUGAAUGUUUCAUGAGUUUCACUUUAAUUGUAAGAUUCUCUUUCAAUAGAAUUUAAGUAUUUGGGUAGUGACUUUUUCCUUCAUAUUCUAGGAUUUAUGAUGUUUCUCUCUUGAAGUUGGAAAAAUCAUUUAAUUAAUCUACAUAUAAACAACAAAGAGAGUUGAUUUAUGUGUUACUGGAAGUAGCUUAUUGGAGAUGCAAUUGAUAUAUCUGUGUUUGUUUUGUGAAUAACAGGGAGUGGCCUUAACGAAUAUGGAGUUUUUAGCGCCCCUUCUUGAAGUGAUAAAGUGCUUCGGGAGACCAACUAGUCAAUAUGUAAAUUACCACCGAAAACUAGAAGAAAAUAUUAAUGACCUUAAAAGAAAAGUGAAUGAUUUAAAUAUCCGAAAGCAAGACCUCGAAUUAAAAAAGGACAAGGAAAUUCGUUGCAGAAAAGUGGUGAAGAAUGAAGUGGAGAACUGGUUUGAAAAUGUCCGAAGCAUAAAUGUUGAAAUGGAAAAGAUAGAAAUGAAGUUUUGUGUUGUUUCAUACUUCUCUCGUGCCAGCCUAGGGAAACUUAUUCGCCGAAAGAUUGCAGAAGUUGAGAGGAUCUAUCAACAAGGCAGUUUUCCAGAAGGUGUGGCAGUUGAUGGUCCUCCGGCCAGUGGGGUGACAUUUCCAACGACAGAUUUAGAAGGUCAAAUAGGUGUAAAAGGACGAAUUUGGGAGUAUCUGAUGGACAAUGAGGUUGGAAUGAUUGGAAUAUGUGGAAUGGGUGGUAUAGGGAAAACCACCAUCAUGAAGAAUAUCAACAAUCAACUGUUGAAGGAAAAUCAGUUUGAUGCGGUGAUUUGGAUGACAGUGUCCAGAGAAUUCAAUAUUGUUAGAUUACAAGAAGAUCUUGCGCAUGCUUUGGACUACUCUCUUCCUAAAAAUAAAUUGGAAUGGCCAACUGUACUAAUGGAAAUCUUGGAAAGAAAGAGAUAUGUGCUAAUCUUAGAUGAUGUUUGGGAACCAUUUGCUCUCCUAGAUGUGGGAAUCCCUGAACCAUCGUCGCAUAAUGGGAGCAAAUUGGUAAUCACUAGUAGAUCAGUUGAGGUGUGCAAUACCAUGGGUUGUAAGGUGUUUAAAGUACAACCUCUUUCACCAGAGGCAUCCUUGAACUUAUUUUCGUGUCAGGUGGGGGAUAAUGUUCUACAAGAUCCAACUUUAAAAGAACUCGUGGACCUUAUCGUUGUCCAAUGUGGUGGUUUACCGCUUGCUAUCAUGACUAUAGCCAGUAGCAUGAAAGGGGUGGAAGAUGCUUUUGAGUGGAGGAAUGCACUUUGUGAACUACGUGAAAGGGUUACAAGUGUGAAGGGAUCAGAUACCAUAAUAUUUGAGCAACUGAAGUUUAGCUAUGAUCGUUUGAAAGAUUCAAAAAUCCAAAAUUGCUUCCUCUAUUGCUCCUUAUAUCCUGAGGAUCAUCACUUUGAAAAGGAGGAGUUGAUUGAAAAUUGGAUAGAUGAGGAACUCAUUGAUGAAUUAGAGAAUAGACGUGCAAUGCACGACAGAGGUCAUACUAUUCUAAACAAGCUUGUAAAUAAUUGCUUGUUAGAGAAGGUAAUGAUUGACGAUGUUGAAAGAGGAGUGAAGAUGCAUGAUGUUGUGAGAGACAUGGCAUUGUCUAUCAAAAGAUGUGAUAACAUUAUGGUAAAAGCUGGUAUGCAAUUGGAGGAAAUACCAAGUGAGCAUAAAUGGAAAGAAUCUCUUGAGAAGGUUUCCUUGAUGAAUAAUUCAAUACCCGGAGCUAUUUUAAUAUCGCCAAAAUGUCAUAAUUUGUCAACCUUGUUAUUGCAGAGAAAUCUUAACCUUGGAAAGAUUUUAGGAUCUUUCUUUGAGAACAUGCAUGGUCUAAAGGUUCUAAAUCUCUCUCAUACUGGAAUUUCUGAUCUGCCCAAUUCCAUUUCGAACUUGAAAAAUCUUACUGCACUUGUCCUUAGAUGGUGCCACCAGUUAAGAUACAUGCCUUCACUUACAAAGCUCACAGCAUUGAAAAAGUUAGAUCUUUUUCACACAAAAAUCAAGGAAGUUCCUCAUGGUAUGGAAAUGUUAGAAAACCUCACAUAUCUUAAUUUAUAUUCACGUGAUCUAAAGGAUCUACCAAUGGGAAUGCUAGCGAGGUUUUCUAAUCUCCAAGUCAUGAAAGCUUGGUUGAAUAUAAAAGGAGAGGAAGUGGCCAAACUGAGGAAGCUGGAGAUUCUUUUAGGAGCUUUUUGUGAUAUGCAAGACUUUGAAGGAUAUGCAAAGUCUUUAUUGGGUAAAGGGCCAACCAAUUACUGGCUUGGAGUUGGAUCACCUACGUCAAGCUACUUUGAGAAUCAUCCUUGGUUUGCUAAUCUUGAGAAUGUUGAAGUUAAUAAGGAGGUAUGUUUUAUCCAUUGCAAGAUGGGCAAUGAAGCUUUUGUGUUUCUCCCAAAAGACAUUAGGACUCUGACUGUUGAGAGCUGUCGAAAUAUCAGAAGUUUGAGCAAUUUUUCUUUGUUCUGCGAAGCAAAUGAGGUGAAGAUAUGUACUAUUAGGUGGUGUGAAGACGUUGAGUGUGUGGUUGAUUUGUCAUUAUCAUCUUGCAACUCAUUGCAGAAUGUUGAGGUUCUACAUCUUAGAAGUUUGAGGAACUUGUGUGAACUUUUAAGAGGGGUAACAGCUGUUGCAUCUACAUCUCACACUCCAGCACCUCCUGCCAUCUUCUCUUCUCUUAAAAAAUUCUAUUUGGUUGGUUGUCCAAGCAUAAAGAAGUUGUUUGCAGUUCAUCAAUUGCAGGGAUUUCAGAACUUGGAGCAUGUUGAAGUUAAGUAUUGUAAAAGGCUGGAGAAAAUAAUAGCAGAAGAAGAGGGAGAAAACCAGACAGUAGUAAAAUGGGAUUCUGAAACAACAUUUGCUUUUCCCAAAUUAAAUACAUUGCACUUGAUCAAAUUACCAGAAUUGAAGAGCAUUUGCGAUAGUGGACUUAGAAUCCCUGCUGAGUCUCUCCGCUAUCUUUCGAUAAUAAAUUGUUCAAAGCUAAAGAAGAUCCCUUUUUCCAUACCCCUGCUUGAAACUGGGCAACCAUCUCCUCUUUCUCUCGAGUAUGGCUAUGUUCAUCCAAGAAUAUGGUGGAAACUAGUGGAAUUCGAUGAUCUCAAUGCUAAGGAUGUCCUUUCACCUCUUGUUUUAGAUUAUUCUUCCGAGGAGGAUGAAGAGUGAGCCUGGUAAAAUUGUGUUUUUGUAUUAUCCAAGAAAGCAGUGUUCUGCUACAUAUAAGCUACCUGUACCUAUAUGUACAAUAUAAAAGACUAUGAAUUAUUCAUCAUUAAACUGUCAAUGUUCCAUCAU